rnacentral:rRNA from 1 species
UAGACCGUUUAGACCACUUCUGGUGCUGCUUACGGCCUCGCCGCCGUUGCUGCCGCCACCUACGAAUUGUCGCUAUCGUUGCGGAGGAAACCGUGGGACGGACGGGUGGCGGGCGGCCGUGUCGGCCACGCAACUGGCGUGGGAGUCCUCCAAGGAGAAGGGGGCACUUGCGGGGGCAGCCGCUGCCCGUAGGUUUAAGAACCACCACUGGCAUUAAAUAAGUACCGUGGAAGAUCGGGGGAAGAUUAACCAAACUAAGAUCAGAGUAUGACAUACCGACCGACCGAUCGGCCCUAGAUCUUAAGGGUAAUUUACU